GGAAACACUGGGCUAGGCUACUUGCAAGUUGGUUCAACCAUCGUCCUCUUGCGUCGUCAUGCUGGAAUGGGAGUUGAUUUUUGAAUGGGAAUGGCAGUUACAUUUUGAAUUGAUCAAAAGGUUCUUUAUAGAACCACUUUUUAUCUAAGAGUGUAUAGUCCAAGUUGAUAUUCAGAAAUAACAAAACAUGCCGAAAAGCUGUGGUUAUUCAAUGUGAAAUGUGGAGCCCCGGUGUCCAAGUACACUACACGUUGAUGUGUGUGUAAAACACUUCAUCACUGCCUCCAGCUGAGAGUGAACGCAGAUCCAGGACAGCUCAGGACAGUUAAGGACAGGCAGGGAGACAGGGCAGCGAGGCGCAAAGGGCACUGUACCAUCCUCUGGAGGAGACUGAGGAUCCCACUGAUACAGUAUGACAGCCUGACUUGGCAAAACUGUCUGGGGUGGGGGGAAUUUGAGUGUAAGUGUGUUUGUGUGUGAGAGUGUGUGAGAGAUGGAGAGAGAGAGUGUGUGUGUGUGUGUGUGUGUGUGUUGUUUUGGUUUUACUAUCCUUUUGGGGACCAGAAGUAUGGAAAAGUGGGGACAUUUUGCCAGUUCCCACAAGGAAAUGUA